rnacentral:rRNA from 1 species
CCCUUAGAUGUUCUGGGCCGCACGCGUGCUACACUGAGUGGAUCAGCGGGUCAGGUUGCGCGAAAGCGUUUCCUAAUCUUUAAAUCCGCUCGUGAUGGGGAUUGACGGUUGCAAUUUUCUGACAUGAACGAGGAAUACCUUGUAAGCGCGGGUCAUCAUCCCGCGCUGAAUACGUCCCUGCCCUUUGUACACACCGCCCGUCGCUCCUACCGAUUGAGUGGUCCGGUGAGGCUUUGGGAUCUGAGCGGAAAGAGCGUUUCGCUGUUUCUGCUCGGAAAACUCAGUCGAACCUUAUCAUUUAGAGGAAGGAGAAGUCGUAACA